rnacentral:tRNA from 1 species
GUCCUCGUAGCUCAAGCAGGAUAGAGCAAUCCCCUCCUAAGGGAUAGGUUGGCAGUUCGAUUCUGCCCGGGGACACCA